rnacentral:misc_RNA from 1 species
UCCCGCUUAUCACGGGCAGUUUCCUUAGAGUGCCCACCAUAACGUGCUGGUAACUAAGGACGAGGGUUGCGCUCGUUGCGGGACUUAACCCAACAUCUCACGACACGAGCUGACGACAGCCAUGCAACACCUGUCUCCUCCCCAGCCGAACUGAAGGAUAUCUAUUACAAUAUCCGGUAGGAGGGAUGUCAAAAGGUGGUAAGGUUUUUCGCGUAGCAUCGAAUUAAACCACAUGCUCCACCACUUGUGCGGGUCCCCGUCAAUUCCUUUGAGUUUUAAUCUUGCGACCGUACUCCCCAGGCGGGGUGCUUAACGCGUUAGCUACGACACUGAAACUUAAGCUCCAAUAUCUAGCACCCAUAGUUUACAGCGUGGACUAC